UAUAGGUUCUCAGUUUGGCUUACUUGAUGACGUCAAGCCCGAUGCAACCUUAGAAACUGUCGAUGUUGUUCUUGUAGCUACUUUCCGAAGCUUAUCAAGUGGUCGUGUUACAACCGAGGACCUUGAAGGCGUUGACUUCCCUCUGUAAUUUCAUCCACCAUUACAGCGUUAGCAACAUCAGGUGAUCCUUGAGUUCCGUUAGAGGCAGCAUCAGAUGUCACUUCGCUCAAUCUCUCCUCAGACUCUGCUUCGACGGAGGAAGCUAAACUCUCGCCGUCAGUAACGGCGUGUCUUGACUGUGAUGAAUAUUCUCCUGUUUCUGAGUUUAUGUCAUCGGUUUGUCCUAAGCUCUUUAUCUUCACCAUUGUUUUCUGAGGUCUAUGAGGAUGAUGAAUGUCUUUUACCGAAUGAAGCCUCUCUAUCUCUUCAUCUUUCCUUGCUAUUGUGUCCUUAAGGGAUGCUAACUGUUGUAAACAAAACAAAUGAUUCAUGUAAAUGUAAUUGCUUAUGGUACGCACAGCCGGUUCUAAGCAUAGGCAAGCGAAAAUUGGCUUAUGACUUUUAAAUUUUUUAGCCGUAGUGUCUAUAAUGAUAUGCCCCAAUUUUUUUUUUUAUAAUUAAAAUUUAACUAA